AGUGGACGCUGGCGGUAGGCCUAACACAUGCAAGUCGAACGGCAGCACAGUAAGAGCUUGCUCUUACGGGUGGCGAGUGGCGGACGGGUGAGGAAUACAUCGGAAUCUACUUUUUCGUGGGGGAUAACGUAGGGAAACUUACGCUAAUACCGCAUACGACCUACGGGUGAAAGCAGGGGAUCUUCGGACCUUGCGCGAUUGAAUGAGCCGAUGUCGGAUUAGCUAGUUGGCGGGGUAAAGGCCCACCAAGGCGACGAUCCGUAGCUGGUCUGAGAGGAUGAUCAGCCACACUGGAACUGAGACACGGUCCAGACUCCUACGGGAGGCAGCAGUGGGGAAUAUUGGACAAUGGGCGCAAGCCUGAUCCAGCCAUACCGCGUGGGUGAAGAAGGCCUUCGGGUUGUAAAGCCCUUUUGUUGGGAAAGAAAAGCAGCAGGUUAAUACCCCACUGUUCUGACGGUACCCAAAGAAUAAGCACCGGCUAACUUCGUG
rnacentral:rRNA from 1 species